CCUUUUAUUAAAAAAGGCCUGCGAGACCACUUCUUGGUGCAGACAUGGACCAAUGUCUUCAUGGGUCUGCAGACCUCUUCUUCUUCACAAAACCCUAGCACCUCUUCACCCCUUCUCCUUCACCCCUUCUCCUACACCCCUUCUCCUCCACCCACCGUCCGCCACCACCUCUACCUCCGCCGCCCCUCCACUUCCGCCACCCCACUCCAGCCGACACCCACGCACGACUCUUCAGUACGGUGUCCCUCUUCAGGCGAAUCCUGGCCGCCUCUCCCUCGACAUCUUUUUCAGCCACUCUCGCGACAAUGUCUCUCAGAUUCGAGUCUUCUUCUUGUAGACUGCAGAGGUUUGGUCCACCGUUCAGCUACAGGUGUCCGCAGAUGUGGUCCGCAGACUGCAGAUGUUUUACCUCUGAAAAAACAAACAGCACCUUAAUCUCCUAUGGUUUAUACAGUCAUGGAAAAAACGUGUGUUGUCAUCCCUUCAUCAGUUGCCCAUUUUACUCUAUCCAUUUGUUUCACAUAUUUCUUUUAAUAUCUUCGAGGGCCUGACUUAAUUGUUGCAGCCCAUGUGAUACAUUAAAAGCCCAUUUGAUUAUUUAAUGUUUCCAUCCAUUAGUUUAGCCAACAUAGUUUAAUCCAUUAAUUUCA